rnacentral:rRNA from 1 species
UACGAAGGGGGCUAGCGUUGCUCGGAAUCACUGGGCGUAAAGCGCACGUAGGCGGAUCGUUAAGUCAGGGGUGAAAUCCUGGAGCUCAACUCCAGAACUGCCUUUGAUACUGGCGAUCUUGAGUUCGGGAGAGGUGAGUGGAACUGCGAGUGUAGAGGUGAAAUUCGUAGAUAUUGGGAAGAACACCGGUGGCGAAGGCGGCUCACUGGCUCGUUACUGACGCUCAGGCACGACAGCGUGGGGAUCAAACAGG